UACGUAGGGUGCAAGCGUUGUCCGGAAUUAUUGGGCGUAAAGAGCUCGUAGGCGGUGUGUCACGUCGGCCGUGAAAACUUGCAGCUUAACUGUGGGCGUGCGGUCGAUACGGGCAUCACUGGAGUUCGGCAGGGGAGACUGGAAUUCCUGGUGUAGCGGUGAAAUGCGCAGAUAUCAGGAGGAACACCGGUGGCGAAGGCGGGUCUCUGGGCCGAUACUGACGCUGAGGAGCGAAAGCGUGGGGAGCAAACAGG
rnacentral:rRNA from 1 species